ensembl:lncRNA
CAAGGAUUGCGUCUGGCAGUCUGACCCCGAAAGAGGUUUCGUUCUGCAGAGUCUUGAACAGUUUCCCUCGAAUCCACGGUACUCCUCUAUUCACCGCCCACUCAGGCUGCCGGUGGAUUAGUGACUGCUGCUUUCUUGCGUGAACUUGACAGAAAGAGAUAGAAGAAGCCAAGAGAGAAGAAGAUGGAUCUAAAGUAACCGAGGAGACAUGGUAGAGGGAAGCAAGAGGCUAGGUGUUUCAUUCAGUGUCGAACCAGGUUACUGUCUAAUCCACUCAGCACGGAGAUAACAUAGCAAACAAACACUUUCAAAUCAAGGGAGCAUAAGAUGAAAUGAAACGGCAUAUUCCCGCAAAUUGCUUUCUCAUUUGACCUCGAUGUUGGAUUAGACACAGACGUACGUGUAAUCAGAUUUUUUUUUCUUUUUUUAAUCUGAUCCACUGUGUGGCAGAAUAUCAGAUGCAUUUAGUCGCUGUCUCAUGAACUGCACUCUUGAGAGAAAUAAAUGUACAGAAAUCUGGUUUAAUUUCCCUGCUGCAGGUUUUAUAGGGUAUACAAUUCUAGAGAGUCCCUCAAGUCAGACCCAAAUGUAAACAAAAACAUAUACAUUCCUGUUUGUGUGGGGUUUUUUUAAUACCGGUGUAUUCUCUCUCUUUCUUUGUUUGAUGUAAUCCUGUGAUGAGUCAUGGAGUGUAGGUAAGCUGCAUUAGCAUUUCUCCUCUGAGGUCUCUGACCACAUUUCUAAAAACAAACAGUAAAAGGUUGCAAACGUCUUUAAGUGACUUAUUAGAUAACAAGCCAUUAGAGCUCUUUCCUCCGAGGAUCUUUUUUUUUCAUAAAUUGCCCCAAAACAAGCAGAAUUCAGUCAAACAAACUGAGCCAAAAACCAUUUUGGAAAUAAAACAAACUCUAAAAAGCUCUCAAAGGAAGGAAACAUGAAUACUGAUGCAGAAAAUUAGCAUUCAGAUUCAGUUUCUGCAGUACUGUAAAUGUAAUAUCGUGGAUUUUCGAUUAUUUUAAUGUCAAGCUCAAGCUGUCAACGAAUGAAAACUCUGAUAAAUGUCCUGGCUGUGCCCAGUUCUUGGAAGAGAUUUUUACUGUGGAUUCUGAGUCUGAUCUUAGUUGCCUUGCAAAG